UGGGGAAUAUUGCACAAUGGGCGCAAGCCUGAUGCAGCCAUGCCGCGUGUAUGAAGAAGGCCUUCGGGUUGUAAAGUACUUUCAGCGGGGAGGAAGGGAGUAAAGUUAAUACCUUUGCUCAUUGACGUUACCCGCAGAAGAAGCACCGGCUAACUCCGUGCCAGCAGCCGCGGUAAUACGGAGGGUGCAAGCGUUAAUCGGAAUUACUGGGCGUAAAGCGCACGCAGGCGGUUUGUUAAGUCAGAUGUGAAAUCCCCGGGCUCAGCCUGGGAACUGCAUCUGAUACUGGCAAGCUUGAGUCUCGUAGAGGGGGGUAGAAUUCCAGGUGUAGCGGUGAAAUGCGUAGAGAUCUGGAGGAAUACCGGUGGCGAAGGCGGCCCCCUGGACGAAGACUGACGCUCAGGUGCGAAAGCGUGGGGAGCAAACA
rnacentral:rRNA from 1 species